GGGCCCGCACAAGCGGUGGAGUAUGUGGUUUAAUUCGAUGCAACGCGAAGAACCUUACCAGGGUUUGACAUCCUGCGAAUCUCUUGGAAACGAGAGAGUGCCUUCGGGAACGCAGUGACAGGUGGUGCAUGGCUGUCGUCAGCUCGUGUCGUGAGAUGUUGGGUUAAGUCCCGCAACGAGCGCAACCCACGUCGUUAGUUGCCAGCAUUUAGUUGGGCACUCUAGCGAGACCGCCGGUGAUAAACCGGAGGAAGGUGUGGAUGACGUCAAGUCAUCAUGCCCCUUACAUCCUGGGCUACACACGUACUACAAUGCUACGGACAAAGGGCAGCAAACUCGCGAGAGCUAG
rnacentral:rRNA from 1 species